rnacentral:snRNA from 1 species
GGCUUUGAAAACUUCAAACCAUA